AACGCACAUUGCGCCCGCUAGUAUUCUGGCGGGCAUGCCUGUUCGAGCGUCAUUUCAACCAUCAAGCCCUAGGCUUGUGUUGGGGCCCUGCGGCCGUCCGCAGCCCCCUAAAAACAGUGGCGGGCUCGCUAUAUACCGAGUGCAGUAGUUUACUCUUCGCUCAGGACAUGUAGUGGGUUCUUGCCGUAAAACCUCCCAUUUUUUAAGGUUGACCUCGGAUCAGGUAGGAAUACCCGCUGAACUUAA
rnacentral:misc_RNA from 1 species